rnacentral:rRNA from 1 species
GUGGGGAAUAUUGCGCAAUGGGCGAAAGCCUGACGCAGCAACGCCGCGUGAGUGAUGAAGGUCUUCGGAUCGUAAAGCUCUGUCAGCGGGAGAGAUGGGUUCGAUGGCUAAUAUCCAUCGGAUUUGACGGUACCCGCGAAGGAAGCACCGGCUAACUCUGUGCCAGCAGCCGCGGUAAGACAGAGGGUGCAAGCGUUGUUCGGAAUUAUUGGGCGUAAAGCGCGCGUAGGCGGCGGGACAAGUCAAAUGUGAAAUCCCAGGGCUUAACCCCGGAAGUGCAUUCGAAACUGUCUCGCUUGAGUUUCGGAGAGGGUGGUGGAAUUCCCAGUGUAGAGGUGAAAUUCGUAGAUAUUGGGAGGAACACCAGUGGCGAAGGCGGCCACCUGGACGAUGACUGACGCUGAGGCGCGAGAGCGUGGGGAGCAAACAGGAUUAGAAACCCGGGUAGUCC